rnacentral:rRNA from 1 species
GCGGAAGAUGUAACGGGGCUAAACCAUGCACCGAAGCUGCGGCAGCGACACUGUGUGUUGUUGGGUAGGGGAGCGUUCUGUAAGCCUGUGAAGGUGGCCUGUGAGGGUUGCUGGAGGUAUCAGAAGUGCGAAUGCUGACAUAAGUAACGAUAAAGCGGGUGAAAAGCCCGCUCGCCGGAAGACCAAGGGUUCCUGUCCAACGUUAAUCGGGGCAGGGUGAGUCGACCCCUAAGGCGAGGCCGAAAGGCGUAGUCGAUGGGAAACGGGUUAAUAUUCCCGUACUUGGUGUUACUGCGAAGGGGGGACGGAGAAGGCUAUGUUGGCCGGGCGACGGUUGUCCCGGUUUAAGCGUGUAGGUGUGUGUUCCAGGUAAAUCCGGUUCACUUUAACACUGAGGCGUGACGACGAGGCACUACGGUGCUGAAGCAACAAAUGCCCUGCUUCCAGGAAAAGCCUCUAAGCAUCAGGUAACAUCAAAUCGUACCCCAAACCGACACAGGUGGUCAGGUAGAGAAUACCAAGGCGCUUGAGAGAACUCGGGUGAAGGAACUAGGCAAAAUGGUGCCGUAACUUCGGGAGAAGGCACGCUGACACGUAGGUGAAGUGAUUUACUCACGGAGCUGAAGUCAGUCGAAGAUACCAGCUGGCUGCAACUGUUUAUUAAAAACACAGCACUGUGCAAACACGAAAGUGGACGUAUACGGUGUGACGCCUGCCCGGUGCCGGAAGGUUAAUUGAUGGGGUCAGCGCAAGCGAAGCUCCUGAUCGAAGCCCCGGUAAACGGCGGCCGUAACUAUAACGGUCCUAAGGUAGCGAAAUUCCUUGUCGGGUAAGUUCCGACCUGCACGAAUGGCGUAAUGAUGGCCAGGCUGUCUCCACCCGAGACUCAGUGAAAUUGAACUCGCUGUGAAGAUGCAGUGUACCCGCGGCAAGACGGAAAGACCCCGUGAACCUUUACUAUAGCUUGACACUGAACAUUGAGCCUUGAUGUGUAGGAUAGGUGGGAGGCUUUGAAGCGUGGACGCCAGUCUGCGUGGAGCCGACCUUGAAAUACCACCCUUUAAUGUUUGAUGUUCUAACGUGGACCCGUGAUCCGGGUUGCGGACAGUGUCUGGUGGGUAGUUUGACUGGGGCGGUCUCCUCCUAAAGAGUAACGGAGGAGCACGAAGGUUGGCUAAUCCUGGUCGGACAUCAGGAGGUUAGUGCAAUGGCAUAAGCCAGCUUGACUGCGAGCGUGACGGCGCGAGCAGGUGCGAAAGCAGGUCAUAGUGAUCCGGUGGUUCUGAAUGGAAGGGCCAUCGCUCAACGGAUAAAAGGUACUCCGGGGAUAACAGGCUGAUACCGCCCAAGAGUUCAUAUCGACGGCGGUGUUUGGCACCUCGAUGUCGGCUCAUCACAUCCUGGGGCUGAAGUAGGUCCCAAGGGUAUGGCUGUUCGCCAUUUAAAGUGGUACGCGAGCUGGGUUUAGAACGUCGUGAGACAGUUCGGUCCCUAUCUGCCGUGGGCGCUGGAGAACUGAGGGGGGCUGCUCCUAGUACGAGAGGACCGGAGUGGACGCAUCACUGGUGUUCGGGUUGUCAUGCCAAUGGCACUGCCCGGUAGCUAAAUGCGGAAGAGAUAAGUGCUGAAAGCAUCUAAGCACGAAACUUGCCCCGAG